AGGACGAACGCUGGCGGUGUGCUUAACACAUGCAAGUCGAGCGGAAAGGCCCUUCGGGGUACUCGAGCGGCGAACGGGUGAGUAACACGUGAGCAACCUGCCCUUAGCUCUGGGAUAGCUCCGGGAAACCGGAAUUAAUACCGGAUAUGACCUAGGCCGACAUCGGCCGUGGUGGAAAGUUUUUCGGCUAGGGAUGGACUCGCGGCCUAUCAGCUAGUUGGUGGGGUAAUGGCCUACCAAGGCGACGACGGGUAGCCGGCCUGAGAGGGCGACCGGGCCACACUGGGACUGAGACACGGCCCAGACUCCUACGGGAGGCAGCAGUGGGGAAUCUUGCGCAAUGGGCGAAAGCCUGACGCAGCGACGCCGCGUGGGGGAUGAAGGCCUUCGGGUUGUAAACCCCUUUCAGCAGGGACGAAGCGAAAGUGACGGUACCUGCAGAAGAAGCGCCGGCUAACUACGUGCCAGCAGCCGC
rnacentral:rRNA from 1 species